rnacentral:sRNA from 1 species
GACCCUAAAUUACGUGAACUUUUGGAUGUGGGGAACAUCGGGCGCCUGGAGCAGCGCAUGAUCACAGUGGUGUAUGGGCCUGACCUCGUGAACAUCUCCCAUUUGAAUCUCGUGGCUUUCCAAGAAGAAGUGGCCAAGGAAUGGACAAAUGAGGUUUUCAGUUUGGCAACAAACCUGCUGGCCCAAAACAUGUCCAGGGAUGCAUUUCUGGAAAAAGCCUAUACUAAACUUAAGCUGCAAGUCACUCCAGAAGGGCGUAUUCCUCUCAAAAACAUAUAUCGCUUGUUUUCAGCAGACCGGAAGCGAGUUGAAACUGCUUUAGAGGCUUGUAGUCUUCCAUCUUCAAGGUGGUGCAAAAAGCAAACCAUAUCUUACCGUUGAUCAGAUGAUGGAUUUUAUCAACCUUAAGCAGCGAGAUCCUCGGCUUAAUGAAAUACUUUAUCCACCUCUAAAACAAGAGCAAGUCCAAGUAUUGAUUGAGAAGUAUGAACCC